AACCCGACUACACAAGCUGGAAUCGCUAGUAAUCGCGGAUCAGAAUGCCGCGGUGAAUACGUUCCCGGGUCUUNUACACACCGCCCGUCACACCAUGGGAGUCGGAAAUGCCCGAAGUCGGUGACCGAACCGAGAGGAAGGAGCCGCCGAAGGCAGGUCUGGUGACUGGGGUGAAGUCGUAACAAGGUAGC
rnacentral:rRNA from 1 species